CUUCUGGGGAGGCUUGGGCUAGGAUGCCCGACCUACUAGAGGCCCACCUAGCAGGUGAGAGAAGCGAGUCCUCUGCAAUUGUUACAGUGGAAGUUAUCUGUUUUUUAAAGGUCUCUGCUCUGUUGCUAAAGGUAAAUACUUAG
ensembl:lncRNA